GUUAGGAAUAUUGGACAAUGGGCGCAAGUCUGAUCCAGCCAUGCCGCGUGAGUGAUGAAGGCCUUCGGGUUGUAAAGCUCUUUAGCCGAUGAUUAUAAUGACUGUAGUCGGAAAAUAAGCCCCGGCUAACUUCGUGCCAGCAGCCGCGGUAAUACGAAGGGGGCGAGCGUUAUUCGGAAUCACUGGGCGUAAAGCGUGCGUAGGCGGCUUUGCAAGUUGGGAGUGAAAGCCCAGGGCUCAACCCUGGAAUUGCUCUCAAAACUGCAAGGCUCGAAUUCGGUAGAGGAUAGCGGAAUUGUCAGUGUAGCAGUGAAAUGCGUAGAUAUUGACAGGAACACCAGUGGCGUAAGCGGCUAUCUGGACCGAUAUUGACGCUGAGGCACGAAAGCGUGGGGAUCAAACAGGAUUAGAAACCCGAGUAGUCC
rnacentral:rRNA from 1 species